ACGUUCCUGUUUGACACGGAAACUGGCGCAUUUGCGCCUCAAGAACGGGUAACGUCGUAAACCACAAUAUCCCAACUCAGCGGCGCGGUGCCGUGGGAAUCCUCGCGCUUCAGCGCGGGGAGGAUGUCAACGGUCGUUCCUC
rnacentral:misc_RNA from 1 species